GAAAUUGGUCCAAACUCCAAUCAAAGAAUGGCACUCUCCAACCCCUCUCUCUUAUCUUCUUCCUGCUCUGUUUACAGACUCAAUCCACUUUUCUUUUCAUCCAAACGAUGUCGGUGCAUUGCUCUCUCCCACUCAAAUUUCGUCUAUCUCACGCGCAGGUUCUUCUCUACUACUGGCAAGCAAGCAACCUUACAUAACACCCCAAAAAGGACAAUUCAAAAGGUUAUCUUUUAUUACUGAAUAUUUUGAAUAUUAUUGUAAUUUCAGUUGCUACAGCUGAUAGUAGUGUAUUGACUUCGCCAGAAAUAGCAAAGUCGAUUGAUUUUAUAGCUGAGGAACAUAUAUAUUAUCACUAAAUGGUACUUAAGGAAGAAGAUGAUUGAAGGAAAAUGUGGAAGAAGUUUUUAUGUUCUUCUUGAGAGAAAAAUGUUUACAAUCAUAGUAUAUAUAGAUACAACACAAUACGUGCUCAACAAGCUCCCUAACAGAAUUGGAAAGAGAAAGAAUUUACAUAUUCUACAUACUUUCUCAACCGGCAUCUAUGGUAUAUUCUCUGUGCAAUUUUCUGUUCAUUUCACCUUCUAGAAUGCCUUGCUGGACAUGCUGAUUUGGUUUGUCCACGUUACAAUCCUGCUGAUAUGGUUUUUCCAUCUGGCAAUCCACGUUCGUUUCACUCUUCAACACCCCCCCGCAAGAAGGAGCGUGGAUGUCUUCAACUCCCAUCUUGGACAAAUGGGAGUAAAAAAUGUUUGAGCUCAAUGCCUUUGUCAUAAUGUCAGCAACUUGAUCAUUAGUCCUCAGAUGUUCUGUUACCACGCUUCCUUCUUGCACUUUAUCUCGAAUUAGAUGAUAGUCAAGUUCGAUGUGUUUCGUUCGCUCAUGAAAUACUGGAUUUGUAGCAAUAUGAAGCGCCGAUUUAUUAUCAAAAUAUACCAGUGUCGCUUGUGGGUGACAAACCGUUAGGUCUUUAAGCAAAAAUCGUAGCCAUGUUAGUUCACAUCAUGUAAUUUCCAUGGCUCUAUAUUCUGCGUCUGCAGAGAAUCUGGAAUCCGUGCCUUACUUCUUUGACUUCCAUGAAAUUAAAGAGGAUCCUAGAAAAAUACAGUAUCAUAUGAUGGACCUUCGAGUGUCUGGACAUGAGCCCCAAUCAGAGUCGCUGUAGGCUUGGAGUUGCAGUACUGAUGAAGAUGAAUACAUUAGUCCUUGUCCUGGGCUUCUUUUGAAAUAACGAAGUACUUUAUGUGCCGCAUUAAGAUGUGGAAUUCUGGGCUUAUCCAUGUACUGACUUAGGACCUGGACGGCAUAAGAUAUAUCAGGUCUAGUCACGGUUAGGUAGAGUAGUCUUCCAAUAAGCCUCCUUUACAUGGAUAGAACUUCAAGUAAUUCCCCUUGGUCUUUGGACAACUUGAUGUCUGGUCUAAGGGAACUCUUGCUAGUGUAGCCCCAAUUGUGCCUGAAUCUCCCAAUAUGUUUAAAGCGUAUUUUCUUUGGCAAACCAUGAUUCCUUCUUUUGACUUUGCUAUCUCAAUCCCAAGAAAGUAUUUCAAUACUCCCAAGUCCUUAAUCUUUGAUUCUUCAUUCAAUAGUUAUCUUAGAAUAUUGACAGAUUUCACGUCAUUGCUAGCCACAAUGAUAUCAUCCAUAUACACCAAGAUGGCAGUAAAUGACUUUCCUUGAAACUUAGUGAAUAAGCUGUAAUCAGCCUUUGACUGAACAAAUCCCAGGUUUGUAAUGAAGGUUGACAGCUUUGAAUACCAUUGGCGUGAAACUUGCUUCAAGCCAUAUAAACUUUGAGCAAUUUGCACACUUUUGGUCGAGAUGCCUUUGAGUAACCUGGUGGUAGUUCCAUAUAUACUUCUUCAUCUGAAUCCCCAUGUAAAAAUGCAUUAUUUGCAUCAAAUUGGUGUAGGAUCCAUUCUUUCAUGGCUGCCACCGCUAACAAAGUUCUGACAGUAACCAUCUUCGCAACCGAUGAAAAAGUUUCGUGGUAAUCUAGUCUUUCUUACUGGGUAUAUCCUUUGGCAACUAAUCAAGCCUUAUACCUCUCUACUGAUCCAUCCGAAUUGUAUUUGGUUUUGAAAACCCAUUUCCAUCCAAUGGUUGAUUUUCCAACCAGCAAAUCUGUGACAACCCAUGUGUGAUUUUGCUCAAGAGCAUCGAUUUCAUUUCGCAUAGCCUUGCACCAAUCUGGGGAUUCUAGUGCUUCACUAUAGUUCUGUGGUUCUAUAUGUGAUGUGAUAGAUGUAACAAAAGCUUUGUAUGCUUUGACAAUCUACGGUAACUAAUAGUUACUUCAAGUGUAAAAGGAUUACCUGAGGUUGGAUGAACCCUUUGCCCUUUUAAACUCUUGAACUUGGGUGGAUGGACUGGCUUGCGGCAUAUGAAAUUCUGCAAAUAUGAAGGUGUUUUUCUGAUUCUACUGGAUCAUCUUGGCAAAUGAGGGCUAGUAUUAGGUGUUAUGUUUUUGAUAGGCUUAAAGGACUUUGUGGUCUUGGUUCAGAUUCAUUUAUGGAGCUCAUAGGGCUUGAGUCAGCUGGUGAUGGUACAUCAAUGUUUGGUGUUAAAGUAUGAUUAUUUGGUGGUAUGUUAUCAAAGUUGAAAAUUCAGGGAACGUUCUACAACCACUUGAAAAUUCACAGGAAUACUUUACUAUGUCAAAUUCAAAUUUUAGCAUUACCAAGUUUACGUUCCAAUUUACCGUUUGACCUUACGUGCGGAAUUAAUACAAUUAAUUGUAACAAGUCACAAAUUAAUUUUUGUCUAGGUGAUUAAACGUACACGUCCAAUAAAGCCUAUGUUGAAUUGUCAGUUUGCGUAAAGUAAAUAAAACAAUAACAACACCAACUCACAAUAUGAUGACGGAAAAACCCCAACAUGGGUAAAACUCUGGGACCAAGCUAGUUGUUUCCACUAUACCAAUCCAGCCAGUACAAGUUAUGCCAAACUCUGUACCAAGUCAGACCCUCUGUUCCAGUCUCACGAUCUACUGCCGUAGCUAUUGCUAGUCUCUUGCUAGCUUCCUGAUCUACCUCCUACAGUCCAAUCUGCUGUCCAAUACAGCCUCCUGGUCUCUAGCUGAUUGUAUCACUAGGGUUGGCAACAGUUCGAUUAUGGGUUGGUUCGACCAAAAUCAUAACCGCACCACCAAUUUUUUGACAAUACCAUAACCACGUAAAUCGGUUCGGUUCGGUUAAUAACCACGAAAAUAAAUUAUUUUUUGUAAGUUCAUCCGUCAAAUUGAUAUAAAACAAUUUAUGAAAAAAAUCAAUGAAAACAAAAAUACAAUAUUCCAAAUGAAAAUGCAAACAUUAUCCCAAUUUUCAAUUGUAAAAUACAAAUUUAACAAACAAUAAUAUAAAUAUAACAAUACUAAACUUUUCCUUCAUUCUUAAUUGUUGUGCAUCGAAGUUACUUGAUUAAUUCUCCCCCACAAGUCUUACUAGCAUAGAUCAACACUCAAAGUUGAUUCCUAUAUAGUAAAUAAGAAAUGUAAGUAGAGAAUACAACGAUACUACUUAUUCCAGAAUGGUUUUAACUAAGAUUUAAAUAAAAAAAUGUACCUCUUCGUCAGCUUUCUUCUCGUUAAACGUUGCACAAGUUAUAGAGUAUGAUGAAGAAGUAGAAUUUUCUACACACAAUAGAAAAAAAUUAACAAUAAAAGGAGUUGUGCAUGAGUUUGUGAUUUGUGGAGAGUAGAGUUUGCAUUUAUAUACUGUCAUACUAAUAUUAUUAUUAUGGGCUAAUGGUAAGUGGGUUGGCCGGUUGAGUUAGGUAGAUGUAAUGGGGGGAUUUUGUUUUGGGCUAGAUAGAAAAGUAGUGUAAAGCCCAAUAAUCAAUUCAAUUUUUAUUUUUUUUUAACGGGUAAUCGGUUCGGUUUCGGUUCGAUGGCGUAAAUGCCAUACCCGCACCGCCACGAACUGGUUCAUUAAAGUAAAAACCAUAUCCACCCUAUUGCACCAUCGGUUCGGUUUUUUUGCCCCAUUCGGUUCGGUUAAUCGCUGUUUUCGAUUUUGACGGUUCAAAUUGUCAUCCCUAUGUAUUACCAAGUGGAAUUCCAAGAACCCCCUGUUCUUUUCCAGUUCCUGUGCUUGUCGUCCACCUCUCUCAAUCUCCCAAUAAGAGAGUCCCUUCCUCAACAGAUAAAGAAGUCCAGGUGUUUUAUCUUCACCAAUAGUGAUGUUUUCCCCAACAAUGGAUUGCCCGAAUCACAAGGUGUUUAAGGAUGAAUUCCUUGUUCAAUUCUGCCUUGGAUCACUUGAGAGAAUAUUGAAGAUGAUAGCUAUAUAAAGUACAAUAUGACAAUCUCUCUUUCACGUUCACGGACUUUGUAUUUAUAGUUGAGGGCAAUUAGGAGUCCUAGACCAUGUCAAACUUUUCAGAAAUCGAAAAUACAAUUUUUCAUAUAACACAGUCGCUAGAGCGAACAGCGAGCGACGCCACUUCGCUCGAGAGAACAUCGAGCGACGAGCGAGCGACGACCAUUAUGCUUCCUCUCGCAUAUAUAUAUAUAUACUUUUUUCUUUUAUGACGUGGGAACCCGCAACCGCUAUCCUUCAAGUCCAUACGAAGUAAACUCUCGGGUUGACGCAAUAGUCUGCAAACUACGCUCGUCAAGUAAAUCGCACUAGGCAAGCUCUGUGCGAUAGGCUCGGUCGAGAAAGUGUUAGUAGAGGGAAUCGAACUCGUGACCAAAGACUUCCGCGUUCACAAAAUUCAUCAACUCGACCACCCCAUGAGGGACAAUACACCCUGUAUAUUUCUUUCACCUUCAAGUUGUUGACAGCUUGGAACCAUAGUGCCAAAUUAGUCCCUUGUUUAGUCCAUAUUAAAUUAAAAUUUAUUUUUCUCUCUCAUAUUUUCAAUUACACAAUUUUUAUAAAAUAAUAUUACACGUAAAUCGAAAUUUUUUCCAUCCUUUUCAACUACUCGUUCUCCAAAACAAUAUUAUUCCUUCCAUUUUAAUUUAAAAAAAUGGGAGCCAAACGAGGGCGUAGACUCUAGGUAUUCCUUUCCAGUCGAGCCUCGUACAAAGUGGGGACCAAGCCGGGCCCAUGACCGUGACUGGUGGGGUCGUACCGGUAAAGAACUUAAGGGUUAAGGAAGUGCGGGAGAGUGGGUGUUGGAAAAAAUAAUAAGAAUAAAGGUGAGGACAGGAAUUUGUGGUGAUAUUGGGCAGAUAACAAAAGGCAUUGUACGGACCGGAAAACCUGGACAACCUGUGCGAUGGGUUUAAGCAUUGAUUCGUCGACUUAGUCUUCGGCUUUUUCCUUGAAAAGUAGAGCCCUUCCUUUUUUAUUGGGCUCACUUUUUGACUUACUUGGGAAUUAAUUUAUGUCAAGAGGAUAAAUUAAGGCUCCGUUUGGUACAUAUUAAUGUAAAAAUAAAAAUAAAAAAAUGAUCGUUACGGUUCCACACAAAAGAUAGAAAGUCAAAUACGAUGACUUGAUGUGAUGAAUAAUAAUUAUAUUUUUUAUUUUAAUAAACAAAUAAUAAAAAACAAACAGGAGCUAAAUUAUGAAUUUAAUAAAUAAUCGGCGCGUAAACUAUGAUAGGAGAGAAUGAAUAGUAAAAAGUAGUCUAAAAAAUAUUAAAGUGUUUCGAAACGUAGAGGCCAAGCUUUGGCAGCCUAAGCAAAGUCUAGGGGGGUAUCUGGAAGUUAUUUUUCAUUCUAAAAAAUUGAUUUUUUGACCAUCAUUUCACUAUUUCAGUCGUAAAGUUUGACUUCUUCUCUAACAAGUGGCCCCCGCUUAUCUUCUAACAGUCAAAAAAUUAAUUCUCAAAAUUGCUCCCAAACGGAGCCCUAGAUAUUAAAAAACCUAAAAAUAUAUUUUUAUUUUAAUAUUAUUUUAAAUCAAUCAAAAAAUUAUUUAAUAAUUAAAGAAAAAACAUAAAAAUGCAUUAAAUGCGUAAGAAAAGCACGACUAGGAGCGAAAAGAAUAAAAAUAAAUAAAAAGUGCGAGUUGAGGCAUUUUGCACUCGUUUCGUGCCUAGGUGUCGCUUUUAGAACACUUAUAAAAAGUAAUAUUAAAGAAAAUGGGCGAGUUCUUAAGCCUUUAAGCCGGUGCAAACGAAGGUUCAAAGCAAUAAUUUAGCCCUUGUUUGAUUUUCAUUACAUUACAUUACAUUCUAUUUUUCUCUCUCCUAUUUUCAACCACACAAUCUUCCAUAAAAUAAUAUUACACGUAAAUCGAAAAUUUUUCUUUCUUUUUCAACCACUCAUUUUUCAAAAAACACUAUUCUAUACAUUAAAUUUUCCCCGUAAUGGGGGCCAAACAGGGGCUUAAUCUCAUUUUCUUUUAACACUAUUCAUUAUUGACAAAUUAACAUGUUAUCGUUAAUGCUUUAAGAGAAAUUUUGAUCAAAAUUCAUCAAUAUCUUCUUUUUAAUUAUUUGCUCUUUUGUAGCACGAGCUCUCGGUUCGGUUUUUUUGCCCCAUUCGGUUCGGUUAAUCGCUGUUUUCGAUUUUGACGGUUCAAAUUGUCAUCCCUAUGUAUUACCAAGUGGAAUUCCAAGAACCCCCUGUUCUUUUCCAGUUCCUGUGCUUGUCGUCCACCUCUCUCAAUCUCCCAAUAAGAGAGUCCCUUCCUCAACAGAUAAAGAAGUCCAGGUGUUUUAUCUUCACCAAUAGUGAUGUUUUCCCCAACAAUGGAUUGCCCGAAUCACAAGGUGUUUAAGGAUGAAUUCCUUGUUCAAUUCUGCCUUGGAUCACUUGAGAGAAUAUUGAAGAUGAUAGCUAUAUAAAGUACAAUAUGACAAUCUCUCUUUCACGUUCACGGACUUUGUAUUUAUAGUUGAGGGCAAUUAGGAGUCCUAGACCAUGUCAAACUUUUCAGAAAUCGAAAAUACAAUUUUUCAUAUAACACAGUCGCUAGAGCGAACAGCGAGCGACGCCACUUCGCUCGAGAGAACAUCGAGCGACGAGCGAGCGACGACCAUUAUGCUUCCUCUCGCUCGAACGGUGGCAGGGCGAACAGCUAGUGAACUUUAGGCGUCGCGACCUUGAUUUGAACCAAACACUCAAACCCUAGUCCCUACCAUCUAGCUUUGUUAAAUUGCACCCUAAGUCUCUGACUUUUAUAACAUUGUACAAUUGAGUCCCUGACUUUUACAAAUUUACAAUUUAGUCCUUUUGUCCACAAAAUUGCCAAUUACACCUUUAGACCUAACAAACUCUCCCUUUGACAUUCUGUGACAAAACUCUACAAAUGAAGUCAGGACAAUAAAAAAUAAGUUAGGACUUGACAACCAAAAAUUAAAUUACCCAGUAAACCUAAUCACUGAGUCUUGCAUUCCUUCGUGUACCUGUUUCCUGAAAUCCACAAACUCAUAUACCCAAUGUAAAAGUACGUGAUACAAGAAAUAUAAAAAUUAGUUAAAACUCUUAAUCACAAGUCAACAUAACAGUUUGAGAUGUGAUAUUGAUACCAAUCAAAACACCAACCAAGACAUUAACACCACUAAAUAUCAAAACUCAAACAAAUGGAUGUGAUAUGGAAUGCAAUGCAACGCUCCCUCUUACUGUAAGCUUUCAUAUUUUUAUGCAGUAGGUAAAUGUAUCUAUGUCUCUCCCCAACGACCCCUAGACAUAGCAGUGCAAUGCAAGUGAUAACAAUCAAUGACGUCAUGUGCAUGCAUAUGCAGUCGCUCUCCUGUGUAUGCUCAAUUAUUUUUUUCUCCCCCUCAGUUACACAUUUCUCUCCCCCUUUUUGUCACAAAUGCUGAAGGGACAUACAUUAAGGCCAAGUCAAGCAAUAACACAUAAUAAUAAAAAAUGAAAUUGAUAGCAUGCAAAAGCAAAAUCAACAAGUAGUAUAACUCCCCACAUACUUAGUUCAGUCCAGAAUGAAGUAAUAAUAUAAGUGACUCAUGUGUGUAAAGUGUCACUCAUCCAAUGAAAGCAGGAUUCCAAACCUUAAUUUUGUGAGAAUGGAUAUGUCAAUCACUGCUAAUAAGUAUGUUCUCCUACUAAUGAGAGUCAAACCAUGUAACGCGUAGUAGGACCUAUACUUGUUAUUUUUACUUAUCUCCCCCUUACUAUGAGCUUAUUUAUUUUUCAAUUUUUCAAAGUAUUUCAACUCUUCAUAUUUUUCUCAUUUCUCCAGCUCAUUAAUUUUUCUUGUUAAGUGCAGGUUCUUCUACAUUAGGUGACUAAGAUGAUCCCUGUAGCGAGUUUUAGGUCGGUUAACCCAAGUCAGUUGACCAUAGGCACCAGGUUUUAAGAGACUCCGCAAGCUUAACUGCUCGAGUCAAAUAGACUCCGAAGAAGAACAUUAAGAUAUGAGCAUUUAAAAUUGGAGGAAAUUUUUGGGUUAAGGUCUACAGAAAUUGAUCAAUUCAUGUUCAAAGUCACCCCAUCAACAUGUGACAGCCAUCCCAAAUCUCACACAUGCGGUAGCGUCCCACUAACAAAUUCAUAGUGUGUGUAGUGCAGAUGGUACAUGAAGACACUUAUACAUAUUAAUCCAACUAGACCUAACCAAGUAAUGAAAAUUAUUCUACAACUUAUCAAUUUUAGCUCCUACAUGAUACAACGUGCAAGCUCUAAGUCAUGUGUCAUGUUGUAGAAAUUUUCAUAACCAACUAUUUUUGUCUUUUUCAAUGUUUUUGUGUUUUUUGUUUUUCUUAAAAUGAAUGCUCCACACACAAAAUAAAAUAAAGUCAAGCACACAAAGAUAAAAAUAAACAUGCAUGAGCCAAAACUCGUAGGUGAAAAUGCAUAUGCAUGAAAAACAACAAAACAAAAAUAAACAAUAUACAUAUGAUGCAUGCAACAACUAUAUGUCAAUUAAGAACCAAGCACGCAUAAAAAAUACCUAAUCAAGUAGGUAUAUAAGUUAUCUUUCCUUUAAGAGCACCACGAUCUCUAACCAAAUUUGGGAGAUUGUUUUUCUUUACCCAAACCUGUCUAGAGCGAGGAUUAUUUCCAGACAAAUGUGUCACCAAUUGAGUAAAACGAUUCACUUGAUCGGUAAGGAAUCCAAUCUGACCAACAGACACCUAAUUUUUGUUCUUUUUUGAGCUCAAGUCUUUCUUAUUGUUCAGGUAGUGAUGACAUUUAGGGCGGAUGUGACCUAACUCUCUACAGUGAAAACAUGUAGGAUAAACCUAGGACCUGCGAUAUGCUUACGCUGAUUUCUAUUCCUAGGCCGACGGGUCCUAUGACGUUUGGUAGACCUACGUCCUGAAGUUUCCACAACAUUUGGUAUGGGAUUAGUCACAAUGUUUGGCUGGUCAGUAACAUGAACAAAGGUGGUCUGUGAUGUACUAGCAACAUUCAGAUCAAAACCUAGACCUCCUUUAUUACCAGUAGGCUUGCCUAUUCCUAGAAUAUUAUCUAGCCUUUCAAAAUUGCUAGAAAAGGCAAGUAACUGAGACCUAGACAACUCCUGCUCACUCUCAAGGUGUUUAACCUGAAUAGCUAAGGUCUCAUUCACAAUGAUUAGCUCACUUACUCUUAAGAGGACAACUCAUUCUUACUGGUGAGAUCACUAACACGGGCCUCUAACUGUUCCUUCUCUAGCUUAAGCUCUUUCACUUUCUUGCUCAUUGCCUGGUUAGUGGCUAAGAUCUUGAGGCUUUCCUCAUACAUCCUAUCAUAGGCUGUUUCUAGAUCAUCCACACUUCCACUCUCAUCACCAGAAUCUUCACUACUAUCUAAGUCCUCAGUCCUUUCACUCCCUUGAUCGGAUCCACUUUUACCCCUAGCAACGAAGGUCACAUAUUUUCCACUCUCCUCACGGGUAAAUUUCUCACUCUGAUUUUCUGAGCUAGACUCGUCAUCAGUGAGAGUAGUAUUCAUAGCUUUCUCUUCAAAUCUUUUAGCACUAGGGCACUCAUUCCUCAAAUGAUCGAAAUCGAGAUAGUUAUGGGAUCUCACGGAUUUAGAUUUCGUCCUAGAUUCACUCGGGCCACCUCUUUGUCUCUCUUAAGGCUUCUUCUUAUUCCUAAACAUUUUUUGGAAUUUUUUAGUUAGGUAGGCCAUCUCCUUAUCAUUGGGUGAAUCAGAAUCAGAAGAUUCCAUCCGAAUAUUCCUAGCGAUUUUUAAGGCUAUGGAUUUUUCCUUAUUUGGAUUGUCUAAGGUCAAUUCAUAGGUCUAGAGGGAUCCAACUAACUCAUCUACCUUGAUAGUGUCUAUGUCCUUAUUCUCCUCAAUUGCCGUAACUUUAGGCCUAAAACGCUCAGGUAAGGAUCUAAGAAUCUUUUUCAUUAUCUUAGGCUCAGGGAUUUUCUCACCUAGGUUGAAGGACGAAUUUACUAUGUCAUUUAAGCUUGCAGAAAAGACAUCAAACAUCUCAUCGUCUCUUAUUCUUAUCUCUUCAAACCUAGUGGCCAACAUCUGCAGCUUAGAACUUUUAACUGCCUGAAUUCCCUCAUGUGUAGUUUCUAAAAUACCUCAAACUUCCUUUGCUACCUCACACAUGGACACUCUCUUAAACUCCUUGAGGAAAACUGCCAUAAAUAGGGCAUGGAGGGCUUUGCUAUUUAAAUUACAGCUAUCCAAUUGAGCUCUAGACCAGCUCUCGACAGGGGUGGGAGUGACUACACCAUCUAUUGUGAUACUAGUGGCUAACUAACCAUUUAUCACAAUCUGUCAAACACGCUCAUCUAAGGAUUUAAAAAACGCCCUCAUUCUCACUUUCCAAUACGCAUAAUUGUUCCCAUCAAAGUGGGGUGACACAUUCAUCGACAUACUCAUCUAGGCUAAUGUAAGGUCAGGAUUCGCACUUAGGCUCUGAUACCACUUGAAAGUUUAGGGAACGUUCUACAACCACUUGAAAAUUGACGGGAAUGCUUUACUAUGUCAAAUUCAAAUUUUAGCAUUACCAAGUUUACAUUCCAAUUUACCGUUUGACCUUACGCACGGAAUUAAUACAAUUAAUUGUAACAAGUCACAAAUUAAUUGUUGUCGAUGCGAUUAAAUAUACACGUCCAAUUAAGCCUAUGUUGAAUUGUCGAUUUGCGUAAAUUAAAUAAAAUAGUAACAACACCAACUCACAAUAUGAUGAUGGAGAAACCCCAACGUGGGUAAAACUUCGAGACCAAGCCAGUAGUUUCCACUAUACCAAUCCAGCCAAUACAAGUUAUGCCAAACUCCGUACCAAGUCAGAACCGCUAUUCCAGUCCCACGAUCUACUGUCGUAGAUACUGCUAGUCUCCUGCUAUCUUCCCGAUCUACCUCCUACAGCUCAAUCUGCUGUCCAAUACAGCUUCCUGGUCUCUAGCUGAUUGUAUCACCAAGUGAAAUUCCAAGAACCUCCUGUUCUUGUCCAGUUCCUACGCUUGUCGUCCACCUCUCUCAAUCUUCCAAUGAGAGAGUCCGUUCCUCAAAGGAUUAAGGAACCAUGGUGUUUUGUCUUCACUAACUUUGAUGGUUUCCCCACACAACAGAUUGUCGGAUUACAAGAACGAAGAAGAUGAAUUAAUCUCUUGAAGCACUCCUUGAAUCUCUUGAAAGAAUAUGGGAGGAUGUUUCUCAAUGUAAGAGCAAUAUGGCAAUCUCUAAUUUUCUUAAAAACUGCAGCAAAUAAUGUUGUGUGUAUAUAUAAAAAUUCAGCAGCUAGUAACUUCUUAAUUCCAGAAUUCUUGUCCACAAAAUCCUUCAAAAACUACUGCCAACAAUGUUGUGAAUAUAUACAAUAAAGAUAGCCAUCAAUUGUUGACUUUUCAAAUGAACCCCAAGUGGUUGUAUAUUGAUUAAGUAUAUUACCAGCAAACUGCCACAACUUUGGACUCCCAACAGCACGUGUAUUUGUCCAAUUCAACCCCAAAUUUGCUUCAGCUUUUCGUGAAUAAAUAUACCCAAUUCGGUGGCUACAAAUUCUUCAAAUCUGCUUUGUCUCUCAUGCAUGUGAUAAAGAUAAUUUAAUUAGCAGCCUCCAUUAUUUUAUUCCUCAAGCAGCAGCCCCCUUUUUUUUAAUUCCCCCAGCAGCCACGCCUUUUGCCAUUUUCUGUUGUGUAUAUAUAUAAUUUUUGGCUGACUCCUUUUCCAUACACAAACAAACCCUAACAACUAUACAAUAUUGCACAUCAAGCCUUAACUUUUAAACAUGUUCAAUUAAGUCCCUUUUUGUUCAUAGAAUGCCAAUUACAAUUUUAGACCUAACAAUCUCCCCCUUUGGUGUUCUAUGACAAAACUAUACAAAUUCAAGUCAAGGAAUUACAAUCAAUCAAAACAACCUAAACUUCCCAGCAUUCGAAUCACCGAGUCUUGCAUUUCUUGUUGUACAUGUUUCCUGAAAUCCAAAAACUCACAUACCCAGUGUAAAAGCAUGUGAUACAGGAAAUAUAGAAAUUAAAGCACUUAAUCACUAAUUAACAUGCUAGUUUAAGACGUAACAUAAAUGUCAAUCAAAACGCCAACCGAAACAUUAACAUCACUAAACAUCAAAACUCAAACAGCUAUGAAUGUGAUAUGGAAUGUAAUGUAACACUCCCCCUUACUGCAAACUUUCAUAUUUUUAUGCAGUAGGUAAAUGUAUCUAUGUCUCUCUCCAACGACCCCUAGACAUAGCAAUGUAAUGCAAGUAAUGUCAAUCAACAAAAUGUGCAUGCAUAUGCAAUAGUUCUCUUAUGUGCAUGCUCUCAUUUUCCAUUUUCUCCCCCUCAGUAUAUACAUUUUCUCUCCCCCUUUUUGUUACAAAUGUCGAAGGGAAUCACAUUAAGACCAAGUCGAGCAAUAACACAUAACUAUNNNNNNNNNNNNNNNNNNNNNNNNNNNNNNNNNNNNNNNNNNNNNNNNNNNNNNNNNNNNNNNNNNNNNNNNNNNNNNNNNNNNNNNNNNNNNNNNNNNNNNNNNNNNNNNNNNNNNNNNNNNNNNNNNNNNNNNNNNNNNNNNNNNNNNNNNNNNNNNNNNNNNNNNNNNNNNNNNNNNNNNNNNNNNNNNNNNNNNNNNNNNNNNNNNNNNNNNNNNNNNNNNNNNNNNNNNNNNNNNNNNNNNNNNNNNNNNNNNNNNNNNNNNNNNNNNNNNNNNNNNNNNNNNNNNNNNNNNNNNNNNNNNNNNNNNNNNNNNNNNNNNNNNNNNNNNNNNNNNNNNNNNNNNNNNNNNNNNNNNNNNNNNNNNNNNNNNNNNNNNNNNNNNNNNNNNNNNNNNNNNNNNNNNNNNNNNNNNNNNNNNNNNNNNNNNNNNNNNNNNNNNNNNNNNNNNNNNNNNNNNNNNNNNNNNNNNNNNNNNNNNNNNNUUGCUGGGAUUUUUGAUGCACAAGUAAAAAGGCAUAAAGAUAUACCAAAUACAGUGGGCAUUUGAACCUCAGUAGUGCAAGGACUGAUGUCAGAUCGAACUUGAUUUGCUAGAUGAGCUGGGUUUGAAAUGUUCUGUUUAUUAAGAAGUGCUAUCAGUUGAUUGUACUGCUCUUGUGUGAUGGGAGAUUGAUUUCUACCAGGAAUCUCAGUUCGUUUUUGUUCCUGCAUAGUUAUUUGAUUAGCUGCAGAUUUUCCCUUGUUGUAGAGCUUGUGACCUGGUGGAUACCCAUGAAUUUUGAAGCACUUAUCUAUGCUAUGACCAGGCAAAUUACAAUAGGAGCACAUUGGUUUGUUGGCCUUAAGGCAUCUUUCCAAAAAAUGGCCGGCAAUCUUACAAUGAGUGCAAAAAUAUUUGGCACCUCGGUUAGCUGUGUAUUGAAUCCCAUUUCGAGUUUCUCUUCCCAUCAUUGCCAUUGAUUCAGUAAUAGGUGAGUCCAUUGAAAUUUGUCUCCUCUUUUCUUAUUGUUGUAUAAUAGAAUAUACUUCAUAUAGUCUUGGAAGAAGCUUAAUGAGAAGAAUUUGGGCUUUCAUGUCUUUGUAGGAUUCAUUAAGUCCCAUGAGGAAUCGCAUCAUCCAAUCUCUUUGCUGAUUGUCAAUUACAGUGCCAAGUCCUCCACAGGUACAGUUGGGUAUGGGUUCAUAAUUCAUCAACUCAUCAAGAAGAGUUUUAUAUUUCGAAAAAUAAACACUCACAACAUCUUGAUUUUGCAUCAAAGUACUGAUGGCUUGUUUUUACCUCAUAGAUUCGUGGAGCAUUCUGCUGACCCAACCGGUGUUCGAUCUCCAGCCAAAGCUCUCUAGCAGUGUCUGCAUAGAGGGUACUAGAUUUUACCUCAACAGACAUAGUGUUUCGCAGCCAGGUGAUUAGAAGAUCGUUGCAGCGAAGCCAAUGGUCCAUUAGAAAUUGUUGGGGUCUGUUGGUUUUGCCAAGCUUCCAUCAAUAAAUCCAAGCUUGUUUUUAAUUCUAAGUGCUCUUUUUAUUGACCUUGCCCAGGGAUAAUAGUUAGUGCUGUCCAAUACGUGACUGACCAGUACGGUGCCUGAGCUAUCAUUUCCUCCAAUAUAAUAUGGGCUGUAGAGAUGAGUAGGAUCAUGAAGGUUUGGUG
rnacentral:lncRNA from 1 species